rnacentral:rRNA from 1 species
GUGCCAGCAGCCGCGGUAAUACCGGCAGCCCGAGUGAUGGCCGAUCUUAUUGGGCCUAAAGCGUCCGUAGCUGGCCGCACAAGUCCAUCGGAAAAUCCACCCGCCCAACGGGUGGGCGUCCGGUGGAAACUGUGUGGUUUGGGACCGGAAGGCGCGACGGGUACGUCCGGGGUAGGAGUGAAAUCCUGUAAUCCUGGGCGGACCGCCGAUGGCGAAAGCACGUCGCGAGGACGGAUCCGACAGUGAGGGACGAAAGCCAGGGUCUCGAACCGGAUUAGAAACCCCGGUAGUCC